AAAACUUCCGGUUUAUUCACAUUAAUUGUUAAGGUGGAGAACUUCACAAGAGGCUAAGCGUUGGUCUUGGCAGACAGACAGCAAUCCACCUACAUACGUCCAUGAGCCUAGACAUAGUAACGAAGUGGCGUCGCUGUUACCACGUCCUUGACCUUGAUGUGUUUCGAUCAUAUGAGCUCGAUAUAUAAAGUCCGAGGGCAAACGAACUUCGAUCGGUACGUUAACAUAUCGAAGCGACAUUUCUUCUGAGCUGUCUCUGCUGCUUUAUGAGAAUGUGUUACAAAACAAACUGCAAAAAUUGUGGCAAGCCAACCUGGGCAGGCUGUGGCAAUCACAUUGAGACCGCUUUGAAGGAUGUUCCUCCUGAAGAAAGAUGCAAGUGUCCAAGGGAGAGCAAAAAGUAAGGACCACAAGGCCCACAGCAACAUUCUUGAUUGAAUGAGCUGCUGCACAGUCGUCUAAGAGUUAUGUGAAACUUCUUGUGCUAUCAGUGUCAAUUGUCACCUUUUAAGGGUCACAGCCAGAUGGAGCUGUCACAAUCUGGAGUUUCAAUGCACAUCAUCAAAUACAAAGUACAUUUGCACAAUUAAUUGUCCUUUGUAACUGUACUAACAUGGAGUGACUAUAUUAUUAUUCACUUCUUAGUAAAUGCCAGAUGUAUUUAGCGGAAACAAUGGCAUUGUUUCUAUUAAAUUACAUAAUUACAGAAGAGCAUCUGCUACAAGUCAAUGUUAUUUCUAGCUUAUAAAAUUUUGAAUGGGCUAAAGGUAUGAAUAGUACUUGUAAUACUAUAAUCGUAAACUCUACCUCUUGAAUUUAAUCUAAAUGAUUUACCCUUCCCCAACUUAAAAAAGUAAAAGGGCAGUAGGAUAUGUCGACAUGGUAUAAAUCCCAAAAUGCCUUAUGUCCAAUAUUGGGAGUGUACUGUGGGAUGAAACCUAGGCUGACCAAUGAUGAAUUUCAAAAAUGAAAGAAAGGUGAUUCAUUAAGGUUAUAAUUUCUCUAGCUUACAUGCUUUAGGAUUGUUAUAAUUGUAAAACUUCUGUCAUACAAAUGAUUUCUCUAAAAUCAAUUGUUAACCUACUGAGCUCUUCAGCUGGCACUCUUAUAGGCAAAACUAAAGUGUCUAUUCACAGGCAGUGAUCAAAUAUUCUGCCUUUUAAGGCCUUUUCCUAUAAAGGUUAAGGUCGUUCCAUGAGUUUUUUUUAGAGAGUAGGGUGUCACUUUUAUUGUACGUAAGUCGAGUGCCUACCUCCUCUCCUUUGUUGCCCUACCUUCCCAGCCUUUUUUGAGUUGGAUACCCAUUUCUGACCACUAGAUCAACUAGGAAAAGUGACCUGCGGUACACAGAUAUUGAACCUAUCAGUUCAGAUAUAGCCACUCAAUUAAACAGUUUAUUAACAAUUUAUUAUCUAAACACCAUCCCAGAUAAAUGUCGGAUGAGAAACAGAGGAUAUGUGAUCAAUAACUAGGGUAACUAUGGGGUUUGCAAGAUAACAAGACAUAUUUCAGAAUGUUUAGGGAAUUUAAAUAUAACAGUUGUCAAGACAUCUCAUCUGUAUUGUCACUUACUGUUUUAUGGUUAAAGUAAUUGCUAAUAUAAAUCUACAGAAAAGGUAAUACCAACUUCAGCCAAAGUAGAUGCAGUGGAUAGUUGAUGAGAUAUUAGUCCAUCAGGUACAAGCUUUUAAAAAUACACCUCAAGAAAAAUUAAAUAAACGUUUUAUUUAUGCACAAACAAUACAGUGCCAUUUCAAAAUUAUUUCCCUUGUUUGUUUAUAUCUUGGACACAAAGAUAAAUGAGACUUGUAACACAUUUCUACUAUCAUGCAAAUGUAAUCAAACAAAAAAUUUAGUGUUUUCUUAUUUUUACAUUUGUAUGUUUUUAGAAGCCUUUGCAGUAAGUUUUUUUGUCCUUAUGUUAAUGAUAAAUGUCUGAUUUGUGAAAUACAUACUCACGCUCACAGGGAGUGUGUUCUUAGUGCUUGAGACAAAAAUAAGAUAUGGACAACAUACAAAGCAUGAAAGAUGAACAACAGUACUGAUGACAAAUAUAGAAAAUACAGAGAGAAAUUGGGUAACAAGAACUUGUUGGAAUAUUUAUUUGCAUUUAUGCACAAUAAACUUGUGGAAAAAAA